GACGAACGCUGGCGGCGUGCUUAACACAUGCAAGUCGAACGGAAAGGCCCUGCUUUUGUGGGGUGCUCGAGUGGCGAACGGGUGAGUAACACGUGAGUAACCUGCCCUUGACUUUGGGAUAACUUCAGGAAACUGGGGCUAAUACCGGAUAGGAGCUCCUGCUGCAUGGUGGGGGUUGGAAAGUUUCGGCGGUUGGGGAUGGACUCGCGGCUUAUCAGCUUGUUGGUGGGGUAGUGGCUUACCAAGGCUUUGACGGGUAGCCGGCCUGAGAGGGUGACCGGCCACAUUGGGACUGAGAUACGGCCCAGACUCCUACGGGAGGCAGCAGUAGGGAAUAUUGCACAAUGGCGGAAGCCUGAUGCAGCAACGCCGCGUGCGGGAUGACGGCCUUCGGGUUGUAAACCGCUUUCGCCUGUGACGAAGCGUGAGUGACGGUAAUGGGUAAAGAAGCACCGGCUAACUACGUG
rnacentral:rRNA from 1 species